rnacentral:rRNA from 2 species
CGGUUUGAUAAGUCUGAUGUGAAAGCCUUGGCUUAACCCAAAGAAGUGCAUCGGAAACUGUCAGACUUGAGUGCAGAAGAGGACAGUGGAACUCCAUGUGUAGCGGUGGAAUGCGUAGAUAUAUGGAAGAACACCAGUGGCGAAGGCGGCUGUCUGGUCUGCAACUGACGCUGAGGCUCGAAAGCAUGGGUAGCGAACAGGAUUAGAUACCCUGGUAGUCCAUGCCGUAAACGAUGAGUGCUAGGUGUUGGAGGGUUUCCGCCCUUCAGUGCCGCAGCUAACGCAUUAAGCACUCCGCCUGGGGAGUACGACCGCAAGGUUGAAACUCAAAGGAAUUGACGGGGGCCCGCACAAGCGGUGGAGCAUGUGGUUUAAUUCGAAGCUACGCGAAGAACCUUACCAGGUCUUGACAUCUUGCGCCAACCCUAGAGAUAGGGCGUUUCCUUCGGGAACGCAAUGACAGGUGGUGCAUGGUCGUCGUCAGCUCGUGUCGUGAGAUGUUGGGUUAAGUCCCGCAACGAGCGCAACCCUUGUUACUAGUUGCCAGCAUUCAGUUGGGCACUCUAGUGAGACUGCCGGUGACAAACCGGAGGAAGGUGGGGACGACGUCAGAUCAUCAUGCCCCUUAUGACCUGGGCUACACACGUGCUACAAUGGACGGUACAACGAGUCGCGAACUCGCGAGGGCAAGCUAAUCUCUUAAAACCGUUCUCAGUUCGGACUGCAGGCUGCAACUCGCCUGCACGAAGUCGGAAUCGCUAGUAAUCGCGGAUCAGCAUGCCGCGGUGAAUACGUUCCCGGGCCUUGUACACACCGCCCGUCACACCAUGAGAGUUUGCAACACCCAAAGUCGG